rnacentral:rRNA from 1 species
UACGUAGGGGGCUAGCGUUGUCCGGAAUCAUUGGGCGUAAAGCGCGUGUAGGCGGUCCGGUAAGUCCGCUGUGAAAGUCGGGGGCUCAACCCUCGGAUGCCGGUGGAUACUGUCGGGCUUGAGUACGGAAGAGGCGAGUGGAAUUCCUGGUGUAGCGGUGAAAUGCGCAGAUAUCGGGAGGAACACCAAUGGCGAAGGCAGCUCGCUGGGACGUGACUGACGCUGAGACGCGAAAGCGUGGGGAGCAAACAGG